GUUUCCUUCCGGUUACCAGGAUAAGUAUUUAAAAUGCGUCUUUCUCUAUUAAUAAAUCAACAUUUAAAACUCAUGGGGAAACCCGUUGGCAACAUAACAAACAAGUAAUUCAAAUGUUUAAAAAAGCGAAUCAAAGCACGAUAACUGCUAGGUGACACAAGCAUGUGACACAAACCAACCAGCGCGACAUUCAAAAAUGCUUAGGGAUAGUUUACACUGUGAACUGGU
rnacentral:lncRNA from 1 species